AUGAUUUUAUACUACUGUUUUAAAAAUGUAUUUGGUUAUAUAUUUCCCAAUUUCAUUUUCCUCUAUUUCAGGAUCACACUCAGGAGUUUUACAUGCUGUAAUGAAGCCAGAAUGUCAUCGUUUUCCAUCUCUGACCUAGGAUGUUAUGCUCAAUUCCAGACAAACAUCCCUCACUCCAACUUUGAUACCCUUACAAGAUGGCUGCUUCUGUUUACUUUCACAAGUGAGUAAUCUCUGUCCUAAAACCUUCCACAUUUAGGCAUGUAAUUUUCUUGGGUCUUGUACAUAUGCUGAAAUCAACAAAGUCAUGUAACUUACAGAGCAUCCUGAAUGAGAGAGAGAUUAAAAAUCACUGAAAUUCUUGUUUAGGUUACAAUUAUGCUCUUUUGCUAAUUACUCUACAACUGUAGACCCGUAAGGCACUAGAGUGUGGGGAAAGAACUCUCAAUAUUGGAUUUAAGAGGCUUGCAUGCAACAUUUUUAGCCGCCUGACUCUGGGCAAAUUUCUCCCCCUGACAAUAAUGUCUUUAUGUCCUUGAAGAGUUGCAAACCAGGAUCUACAUGGAUAAAGGCAAUUCUCUAGUCAGGAAUUUCUUAAACUGAUGGAAGGCAUCUCAUAUUCUGUACCCUCUCCCUCCACCCUCAAAAUACACACAAACACACAGUCAAAAUUGUCAUUCAUGUGAGAUAUUUCUCUGAUUUAAGAGUAUUUAGAGUAGAUUCAAGCUCAUCAAACAUAGAUCUGAUGCUUCUCUGCCACAUAUUACUUAGAGGACUGAGAAAAUUCCCACGCCUUUCUGGACCCUAUUUCAUAGAAUCACAAAUUAGAUCUGGAGUCCAUUCCUUACAUUUUACAGAUUUAGAAACUGAGACCCAGAGAAAAUAGUUGACUUUCCCAAGGUCUCCCUUCUGUUAUCCAAAGGUAGGUUCCUGUUGCUUCAUGCACAGAACUCACAGGUUUUGUUUUUUCCUUUGAAAUAAAGGCAUUGAACCAACAUGCA
rnacentral:lncRNA from 1 species